rnacentral:lncRNA from 1 species
GUUGGAAGGUGGUUGGAGCUUUGGAACGUGGAGAGAAGUGGUAAGUUAACUGUCAGGAUGGCAAAAUAUUGAAGACACAGCUCAAGCCGUGCUUUGUGGGGUCGGAAAAGCUAUCACAGGCGGUGGAUCCUGCCCAGAGACAGCAGAUAAAGAU